UACGUAGGGGGCAAGCGUUGUCCGGAUUUAUUGGGCGUAAAGAGCGUGUAGGCGGCCAGACAGGUCCGUUGUGAAAACUCGAGGCUCAACCUCGAGAUGUCGAUGGAAACCGUCUGGCUAGAGUCCGGAAGAGGAGUGUGGAAUUCCUGGUGUAGCGGUGAAAUGCGCAGAUAUCAGGAGGAACACCGAUGGCGAAGGCAGGUCUCUGGGCCAUAACUGACGCUGAGAAGCGAAAGCAUGGGGAGCGAACAGG
rnacentral:rRNA from 1 species